rnacentral:rRNA from 1 species
UAACGCGUGAGGAACCUGCCUCAAAGAGGGGGACAACAGUUGGAAACGACUGCUAAUACCGCAUAAGCCCACAGGUCGGCAUCGACCAGAGGGAAAAGGAGCAAUCCGCUUUGAGAUGGCCUCGCGUCCGAUUAGCUAGUUGGUGAGGUAACGGCCCACCAAGGCAACGAUCGGUAGCCGGACUGAGAGGUUGAACGGCCACAUUGGGACUGAGACACGGCCCAGACUCCUACGGGAGGCAGCAGUGGGGAAUAUUGCACAAUGGGGGAAACCCUGAUGCAGCGACGCCGCGUGGAGGAAGAAGGUCUUCGGAUUGUAAACUCCUGUUGUUGAGGAAGAUAAUGACGGUACUCAACAAGGAAGUGACGGCUAACUACGUGCCAGCAGCCGCGGUAAAACGUAGGUCACAAGCGUUGUCCGGAAUUACUGGGUGUAAAGGGAGCGCAGGCGGGAAGACAAGUUGGAAGUGAAAUCUAUGGGCUCAACCCAUAAACUGCUUUCAAAACUGUUUUUCUUGAGUAGUGCAGAGGUAGGCGGAAUUCCCGGUGUAGCGGUGGAAUGCGUAGAUAUCGGGAGGAACACCAGUGGCGAAGGCGGCCUACUGGGCACCAACUGACGCUGAGGCUCGAAAGUGUGGGUAGCAAACAGGAUUAGAUACCCUGGUAGUCCACACCGUAAACGAUGAUUACUAGGUGU